CCUACGGGUGGCAGCAGUGAGGAAUAUUGGUCAAUGGGCGAGAGCCUGAACCAGCCAAGUCGCGUGAAGGAUGACGGCCCUACGGGUUGUAAACUUCUUUUGUCAGGGAGCAAUUGGGUCCACGCGUGGGCUUAGCGAGAGUACCUGAAGAAUAAGGAUCGGCUAACUCCGUGCCAGCAGCCGCGGUAAUACGGAGGAUCCGAGCGUUAUCCGGAUGUAUUGGGUUUAAAGGGAGCGUAGAUGGGUUGUUAAGUCAGUUGUGAAAGUUUGCGGCUCAACCGUAAAAUUGCAAUUGAUACUGGCAGUCACGAGUACAGUUGUGGUAGGGUGAAGUCGUGGUGUAGCGGUGAAAUGCUUAGAUAUCACGAAGAACUCCGCUUGCGUCGGUAGCUUACUAAACUGCCACUGACAUCGAUGCUCUAAAGUGUGGGUAUCAAACAGGAUUAGAUACCCUGGUAGUC
rnacentral:rRNA from 1 species